UUAAGCGACUAAGCGUACACGGUGGAUGCCCUGGCAGUCAGAGGCGAUGAAGGACGUGCUAAUCUGCGAAAAGCGUCGGUAAGGUGAUAUGAACCGUUAUAACCGGCGAUGUCCGAAUGGGGAAACCCAGUGUGAUUCGUCACACUAUCGUUAACUGAAUACAUAGGUUAACGAGGCGAACCGGGGGAACUGAAACAUCUAAGUACCCCGAGGAAAAGAAAUCAACCGAGAUUCCCCCAGUAGCGGCGAGCGAACGGGGAGCAGCCCAGAGUCUGAAUCAGCUUGUGUGUUAGUGGAACGGUCUGGAAAGUCCGACGGUACAGGGUGAUAGUCCCGUACACCAAAAUGCACAGGCUGUGAACUCGAAGAGUAGGGCGGGACACGUGGUAUCCUGUCUGAAUAUGGGGGGACCAUCCUCCAAGGCUAAAUACUCCUGACUGACCGAUAGUGAACCAGUACCGUGAGGGAAAGGCGAAAAGAACCCCGGCGAGGGGAGUGAAAAAGAACCUGAAACCGUGUACGUACAAGCAGUGGGAGCACCUUCGGGUGUGACUGCGUACCUUUUGUAUAAUGGGUCAGCGACUUAUAUUCUGUAGCAAGGUUAACCGUAUAGGGGAGCCGCAGGGAAACCGAGUCUUAACUGGGCGUUAAGUUGCAGGGUAUAGACCCGAAACCCGGUGAUCUAGCCAUGGGCAGGUUGAAGGUUGGGUAACACUAACUGGAGGACCGAACCGACUAAUGUUGAAAAAUUAGCGGAUGACUUGUGGCUGGGGGUGAAAGGCCAAUCAAACCGGGAGAUAGCUGGUUCUCCCCGAAAGCUAUUUAGGUAGCGCCUCGUGAACUCAUCUUCGGGGGUAGAGCACUGUUUCGGCUAGGGGGUCAUCCCGACUUACCAACCCGAUGCAAACUACGAAUACCGAAGAAUGUUAUCACGGGAGACACACGGCGGGUGCUAACGUCCGUCGUGAAGAGGGAAACAACCCAGACCGCCAGCUAAGGUCCCAAAGUCAUGGUUAAGUGGGAAACGAUGUGGGAAGGCACAGACAGCCAGGAUGUUGGCUUAGAAGCAGCCAUCAUUUAAAGAAAGCGUAAUAGCUCACUGGUCGAGUCGGCCUGCGCGGAAGAUGUAACGGGGCUAAACCAUGCACCGAAGCUGCGGCAGCGACACUAUGUGUUGUUGGGUAGGGGAGCGUUCUGUAAGCCUGCGAAGGUGGCCUGUGAGGGUUGCUGGAGGUAUCAGAAGUGCGAAUGCUGACAUAAGUAACGAUAAAGCGGGUGAAAAGCCCGCUCGCCGGAAGACCAAGGGUUCCUGUCCAACGUUAAUCGGGGCAGGGUGAGUCGACCCCUAAGGCGAGGCCGAAAGGCGUAGUCGAUGGGAAACAGGUUAAUAUUCCUGUACUUGGUGUUACUGCGAAGGGGGGACGGAGAAGGCUAUGUUAGCCGGGCGACGGUUGUCCCGGUUUAAGCAUGUAGGCUGGUUAUCCAGGCAAAUCCGGAUAAUCAAGGCUGAGGUGUGAUGACGAGGCACUACGGUGCUGAAGUAACAAAUGCCCUGCUUCCAGGAAAAGCCUCUAAGCAUCAGGUAACAUCAAAUCGUACCCCAAACCGACACAGGUGGUCAGGUAGAGAAUACCAAGGCGCUUGAGAGAACUCGGGUGAAGGAACUAGGCAAAAUGGUGCCGUAACUUCGGGAGAAGGCACGCUGGUGUGUAGGUGAAGUCCCUGCGGAUGGAGCUGAGACCAGUCGAAGAUACCAGCUGGCUGCAACUGUUUAUUAAAAACACAGCACUGUGCAAACACGAAAGUGGACGUAUACGGUGUGACGCCUGCCCGGUGCCGGAAGGUUAAUUGAUGGGGUUAUCCGUAAGGAGAAGCUCUUGAUCGAAGCCCCGGUAAACGGCGGCCGUAACUAUAACGGUCCUAAGGUAGCGAAAUUCCUUGUCGGGUAAGUUCCGACCUGCACGAAUGGCGUAAUGAUGGCCAGGCUGUCUCCACCCGAGACUCAGUGAAAUUGAACUCGCUGUGAAGAUGCAGUGUACCCGCGGCAAGACGGAAAGACCCCGUGAACCUUUACUAUAGCUUGACACUGAACAUUGAGCCUUGAUGUGUAGGAUAGGUGGGAGGCUUUGAAGCGUGGACGCCAGUCUGCGUGGAGCCAACCUUGAAAUACCACCCUUUAAUGUUUGAUGUUCUAACGUUGGCCCCUGACCGGGGUUGCGGACAGUGUCUGGUGGGUAGUUUGACUGGGGCGGUCUCCUCCCAAAGCGUAACGGAGGAGCACGAAGGUUAGCUAAUCCUGGUCGGACAUCAGGAGGUUAGUGCAAUGGCAUAAGCUAGCUUGACUGCGAGCGUGACGGCGCGAGCAGGUGCGAAAGCAGGUCAUAGUGAUCCGGUGGUUCUGAAUGGAAGGGCCAUCGCUCAACGGAUAAAAGGUACUCCGGGGAUAACAGGCUGAUACCGCCCAAGAGUUCAUAUCGACGGCGGUGUUUGGCACCUCGAUGUCGGCUCAUCACAUCCUGGGGCUGAAGUAGGUCCCAAGGGUAUGGCUGUUCGCCAUUUAAAGUGGUACGCGAGCUGGGUUUAGAACGUCGUGAGACAGUUCGGUCCCUAUCUGCCGUGGGCGCUGGAGAAUUGAGGGGGGCUGCUCCUAGUACGAGAGGACCGGAGUGGACGCAUCACUGGUGUUCGGGUUGUCAUGCCAAUGGCACUGCCCGGUAGCUAAAUGCGGAAGAGAUAAGUGCUGAAAGCAUCUAAGCACGAAACUUGCCCCGAGAUGAGUUCUCCCUGAGACUUUAAGUCUCCUGAAGGAACGUUGAAGACGACGACGUUGAUAGGCCGGGUGUGUAAGCGCAGCGAUGCGUUGAGCUAACCGGUACUAAUGAACCGUGAGGCUUAACCUU
rnacentral:rRNA from 1 species